GAAGUCCGAGAAGGAAAAGACAGAUAAGUUUUAUACGGCGAAAUGCGAAUGGUCUUAAAACGUAUACGUUAUUUGUGGUAGUUAUACUGGUAACUGGUAAUUGUAGAGUAAUACUGCGCCAGACCCGACUCAGGAAGGGUGUGUUAUUAGAUACAGAACCACCACUUUCUGGUGUUUGGGGAUUGAUGAAAACCUCCGAACCGUUGCUUGGCGGCCAUUAAUGAUUAAAGAUUCAGACUAUGACCUUUCCGACGGCCGGGGAUUGGCCUUCCGCGGAUUGGACGGUGACGGAGAACUAAGGAUUCGAGUUCCGGAGAGGGAGCAUGGAAAACGGCAACCACAUAUAACGAAGGCAGAAGGCGCGCAAAUUACCCAAUACCGACACAGGGAGGUAGUAACAAGAAAUAACAAUUAACGGCUCCAGGCAUUGCAAUUCGGAAUGAGGAAAAUUUAAAACCUUUUACCAGUUUACAUUGGCCGGCAGGAGGGGAGCCAGCAGCCGCGGUAAUCGCCAGAUUCCAAUAGUCGCAUAUUAAAGUUUUAAGCGGUUAAAAAGCACGAAAGCGGGUUUCUGGUUUAGGGGAACCGGACCGACGUUUCCUCCUGUAGGGGGUUUUGGCCGUGCCUUCUUGACAGAAUGUGGAUACUGCGUUUGUUUGCUUGGCUGGG
rnacentral:rRNA from 1 species